rnacentral:rRNA from 1 species
GCCCUUCACUCUGGGAUAACCUCCGGAAACGGAAGCUAAUACCGGAUAUGACGCACGGAGGCAUCUCCUGUGCGUGGAAAGAACUUCGGUGGAGGAUGAGCUCGCGGCCUAUCAGGUAGUUGGUGAGGUAACGGCCCACCAAGCCUACGACGGGUAGCCGGCCUGAGAGGGUGACCGGCCACACUGGGACUGAGACACGGCCCAGACUCCUACGGGAGGCAGCAGUGGGGAAUAUUGCACAAUGGGCGCAAGCCUGAUGCAGCAACGCCGCGUGAGGGACGACGGCCUUCGGGUUGUAAACCUCUUUUAGUAGGGAAGAAGCGAAAGUGACGGUACCUGCAGAAAAAGCACCGGCUAACUACGUGCCAGC